rnacentral:rRNA from 1 species
AACGUAGGAGACAAACGUUAUCCGGAGUUACUGGGCGUAAAGGGCGUGUAGGUGGUAUCGUAAGUCUGGCGUGAAAUUUCUCGGCUUAACCGAGGCAGGUCGUCGGAUACUGCGAGGCUAGAGGACGGUAGAGGCGUGUGGAAUUCCGGGUGUAGUGGUGAAAUGCGUAGAGAUCCGGAGGAACACCAGUGGCGAAGGCGACACGCUGGGCCGUACCUGACGCUGAGGCGCGAAAGCUAGGGGAGCAAACAGG